rnacentral:rRNA from 1 species
GUUUGAUCCUGGCUCAGAUUGAACGCUAGCGGCAUGCCUUACACAUGCAAGUCGAACGGCAGCACGGGAGCUUGCUCCUGGUGGCGAGUGGCGAACGGGUGAGUAAUAUAUCGGAACGUACCCUAGAGUGGGGGAUAACGUAGCGAAAGUUACGCUAAUACCGCAUACGAUCUACGGAUGAAAGUGGGGGAUCGCAAGACCUCAUGCUCAUGGAGCGGCCGAUAUCUGAUUAGCUAGUUGGUGGGGUAAAAGCUCACCAAGGCGACGAUCAGUAGCUGGUCUGAGAGGACGACCAGCCACACUGGAACUGAGACACGGUCCAGACUCCUACGGGAGGCAGCAGUGGGGAAUUUUGGACAAUGGGCGCAAGCCUGAUCCAGCAAUGCCGCGUGAGUGAAGAAGGCCUUCGGGUUGUAAAGCUCUUUUGUCAGGGAAGAAACGGUUCGGGCUAAUAUCCUGGGCUAAUGACGGUACCUGAAGAAUAAGCACCGGCUAACUACGUGCCAGCAGCCGCGGUAAUACGUAGGGUGCAAGCGUUAAUCGGAAUUACUGGGCGUAAAGCGUGCGCAGGCGGUUGUGCAAGACAGAUGUGAAAUCCCCGGGCUCAACCUGGGAAUUGCAUUUGUGACUGCACGGCUAGAGUGUGUCAGAGGGGGGUAGAAUUCCACGUGUAGCAGUGAAAUGCGUAGAGAUGUGGAGGAAUACCGAUGGCGAAGGCAGCCCCCUGGGAUAACACUGACGCUCAUGCACGAAAGCGUGGGGAGCAAACAGGAUUAGAUACCCUGGUAGUCCACGCCCUAAACGAUGUCUACUAGUUGUCGGGUCUUAAUUGACUUGGUAACGCAGCUAACGCGUGAAGUAGACCGCCUGGGGAGUACGGUCGCAAGAUUAAAACUCAAAGGAAUUGACGGGGACCCGCACAAGCGGUGGAUGAUGUGGAUUAAUUCGAUGCAACGCGAAAAACCUUACCUACCCUUGACAUGUCUGGAAUCCUUGAGAGAUCAGGGAGUGCUCGAAAGAGAAUCAGAACACAGGUGCUGCAUGGCUGUCGUCAGCUCGUGUCGUGAGAUGUUGGGUUAAGUCCCGCAACGAGCGCAACCCUUGUCAUUAGUUGCUACGAAAGGGCACUCUAAUGAGACUGCCGGUGACAAACCGGAGGAAGGUGGGGAUGACGUCAAGUCCUCAUGGCCCUUAUGGGUAGGGCUUCACACGUCAUACAAUGGUACAUACAGAGGGCCGCCAACCCGCGAGGGGGAGCUAAUCCCAGAAAGUGUAUCGUAGUCCGGAUUGUAGUCUGCAACUCGACUACAUGAAGUUGGAAUCGCUAGUAAUCGCGGAUCAGCAUGUCGCGGUGAAUACGUUCCCGGGUCUUGUACACACCGCCCGUCACACCAUGGGAGCGGGUUUCACCAGAAGUGGGUAGCCUAACCGCAAGGAGGGCGCUCACCACGGUGGGA